CCCUUGAGGCGUGGCUUCCGGAGCUAACGCGUUAAGUCGACCGCCUGGGGAGUACGGCCGCAAGGUUAAAACUCAAAUGAAUUGACGGGGGCCCGCACAAGCGGUGGAGCAUGUGGUUUAAUUCGAUGCAACGCGAAGAACCUUACCUGGUCUUGACAUCCACGGAAGUUUUCAGAGAUGAGAAUGUGCCUUCGGGAACCGUGAGACAGGUGCUGCAUGGCUGUCGUCAGCUCGUGUUGUGAAAUGUUGGGUUAAGUCCCGCAACGAGCGCAACCCUUAUCCUUUGUUGCCAGCGGUCCGGCCGGGAACUCAAAGGAGACUGCCAGUGAUAAACUGGAGGAAGGUGGGGAUGACGUCAAGUCAUCAUGGCCCUUACGACCAGGGCUACACACGUGCUACAAUGGCGCAUACAAAGAGAAGCGACCUCGCGAGAGCAAGCGGACCUCAUAAAGUGCGUCGUAGUCCGGAUUGGAGUCUGCAACUCGACUCCAUGAAGUCGGAAUCGCUAGUAAUCGUGGAUCAGAAUGCCACGGUGAAUACGUUCCCGGGCCUUGUACACACCGCCCGUCACACCAUGGGAGUGGGUUGCAAAAGAAGUAGGUAGCUUAACCUUCGGGAGGGCGCUUACCACUUUGUGAUUCAUGACUGGGGUGAAGUCGUAACAAGGUAACCGUAGGGGAACCUGCGGUUGGAUCACCUCCUUA
rnacentral:rRNA from 1 species